CCAGACUCCUACGGGAGGCAGCAGUGGGGAAUAUUGCACAAUGGGGGAAACCCUGAUGCAGCGACGCCGCGUGAGUGAAGAAGUAUUUCGGUAUGUAAAGCUCUAUCAGCAGGGAAGAUAAUGACGGUACCUGACUAAGAAGCCCCGGCUAACUACGUGCCAGCAGCCGCGGUAAUACGUAGGGGGCAAGCGUUAUCCGGAUUUACUGGGUGUAAAGGGUGCGUAGGUGGCGUGGCAAGCCAGAGGUGAAAGCCGGGGCCGCACCCCCGGGCCGCCGUUGAAACUGGCAGUCUCGAGUUGGAGAGAAGUAAGCGGAAUUCGUGGUGGAGCGGUGAAAU
rnacentral:rRNA from 1 species